UACGUAGGCAGCAAGCGUUGUUCGGAGUUACUGGGCGUAAAGGGUGUGUAGGCGGUUGUUUAAGCUUGGUGUGAAAUCUCCCGGCUCAACCGGGAGGGUGCGCCGAAUACUGAAUGACUAGAGUGCGGGAGAGGAAAGUGGAAUUCCUGGUGUAGCGGUGAAAUGCGUAGAUAUCAGGAGGAAUACCGGUGGUGUAGACGGCUUUCUGGACCGUAACUGACGCUGAGACACGAAAGCGUGGGUAGCAAACAGG
rnacentral:rRNA from 1 species